CAGUAGCCACGGUAAUACGUAGGUGGCAAGCGUUGUCCGGAAUUAUUGGGCGUAAAGGGCUCGCAGGCGGUUUCUUAAGUCUGAUGUGAAAGCCCCCGGCUCAACCGGGGAGGGUCAUUGGAAACUGGGAAACUUGAGUGCAGAAGAGGAGAGUGGAAUUCCACGUGUAGCGGUGAAAUGCGUAGGGAUGUGGAGGAACACCAGUGGCGAAGGCGACUCUCUGGUCUGUAACUGACGCUGGGGAGCGAAAGCGUGGGGAGCGAACAGGAUUAGAUACCCCUGUAGUCCCUGUCUCUUAUAC
rnacentral:rRNA from 1 species